CCCGCACAAGCAGUGGAGUAUGUGGUUUAAUUCGAAGCAACGCGAAGAACCUUACCAGGGUUUGACAUCCCUUGACGACUGUAGAGAUACAGUUUCCCUUCGGGGCAAGGAGACAGGUGGUGCAUGGUUGUCGUCAGCUCGUGUCGUGAGAUGUUGGGUUAAGUCCCGCAACGAGCGCAACCCUUGUUGUUAGUUGCCAGCACGUAACGGUGGGCACUCUAGCGAAACUGCCGGCGACAAGUCGGAGGAAGUGGGGACGACGUCAAAUCAUCAUGCCCCUUAUAUCCUGGGCUACACACGUACUACAAUGGCUGUAACAGAGGGAAGCGAAGGAGCAAUCCGGAGCAAAUCCCCAAAAGCAGCCUCAGUUCAGAUUGUGGGCUGCAACCCGCCCACAUGAAGUCGGAAUUGCUAGUAAUGGCAGGUCAGCAUACUGCCGUGAAUACGUUCCCGGGCCUU
rnacentral:rRNA from 1 species